UCGAGAAUUUUUCUCAAUGGGGGAAACCCUGAAGGAGCGACGCCGCGUGGAGGAUGAAUGCUUUCGGGUUGUAAACUCCUGUCAUUUGGGAACAAGGCCUUACGUUAACUGCGUGGAGGAUUGAUAGUACCAAAAGAGGAAGAGACGGCUAACUCUGUGCCAGCAGCCGCGGUAAUACAGAGGUCUCAAGCGUUGUUCGGAUUCAUUGGGCGUAAAGGGCGCGUAGGCGGUGAAGUAAGUCUGGUGUGAAAUCUAGGAGCUUAACUCCUAAACUGCACUGGAUACUGUUUUGCUUGAGGACUGGAGAGGAGAUUGGAAUUCACGGUGUAGCAGUGAAAUGCGUAGAUAUCGUGAGGAAGACCAGUGGCGAAGGCGGAUCUCUGGACAGUUCCUGACGCUGAGGCGCGAAGGCCAGGGGAGCAAAUGGGAUUAGAUACCCCCGUAGUCC
rnacentral:rRNA from 1 species